rnacentral:rRNA from 1 species
UACAGAGGUCUCGAGCGUUAGGCGGAAUCACUGGGCUUAAAGCGUGUGUAGGUGGAUGCCUAAGUACCUUGUGAAAUCCCACGGCUUAACCGUGGAACUGCUUGGUAUACUGGGUGUCUUGAGUCACUCAGGGGCGAGCGGAACAAAUGGUGGAGCGGUGAAAUGCGUAGAUAUCAUUUGGAACGCCAAUGGUGAAAACAGCUCGCUGGGGGUGCACUGACACUGAGACAUGAAAGCCAGGGGAGCGAACGGG